ensembl:miRNA
GGGAGUUUUCCAGCAAGUUGGCCUCCCCAGCACUUGGGGGGCAGAAGGCAGGGGCUGGGGCUCCAGCAUUCAGGGCACAACUGGCCU